rnacentral:rRNA from 1 species
GACGAACGCUGGCGGCGUGCUUAAUACAUGCAAGUCGAACGGAAAGGCCCUGCUCUUGUGGGGUGCUCGAGUGGCGAACGGGUGAGUAACACGUGAGUAACAUGCCCUUGAAUUUGUGAUAACUUCUGGAAAAUGGGGCUAAUAACGGAUAGGAGCUCCUGCUGCAUGGUGGGGGUUGGAAAGUUUCGGCGGUUGGGGAUGGACUCGAGGCUUAUCAGCUUGUUGGUGGGGUAGUGGCUUACCAAGGCUUUGACGGGUAGCCGGCCUGAGAGGGUGACCCGCCACAGUGGGACUGAGAUACGGCCCAGACGCAUACGGGAGGCAGCAGUGGGGAAUUGUGCACGAUACGCCGAAGGCGGAUGCAGCAACGCCGCGUGCGAGAUGACGGCCUUCGGGGUGUAAACCUCUUUCGCCUGUGACGACGCGUGAGUGACGGUAAUAGGUAAAGAAGCACCGCCUAACUACGU